GACUCUGAGAGGUGGAUCACUCGGCUUGUGCAUCGAUGAAGAACACAGCUAGCUAUGAGAACUAAUGUGAAUUGCAUGACACAUUGAUCAUCGACACUUCAAAUGCAUUUUGCAGCCCGGGUUACUCCCUGGACUACAUCUGUCUGAGGGUUG